rnacentral:rRNA from 1 species
AUACGGAGGGGGCUAGCGUUGUUCGGAAUUACUGGGCGUAAAGCGCGCGUAGGCGGAUUGAUCAGUCAGGGGUGAAAUCCCGAGGCUUAACCUCGGAACUGCCUUUGAUACUGUCAGUCUUGAGUUCGAGAGAGGUGAGUGGAAUUCCUAGUGUAGAGGUGAAAUUCGUAGAUAUUAGGAAGAACACCAGUGGCGAAGGCGGCUCACUGGCUCGAUACUGACGCUGAGGUGCGAAAGCGUGGGGAGCAAACAGGAUUAGAUACCCUAGUAGUCC